rnacentral:rRNA from 1 species
AAAUGAAUAGACGGGGGCCCGCACAAGCGGUGGAGCAUGUGGUUUAAUACGUCACUAACCGUAGAACCUUACCCAGGCUUGACAUCUGCUGAAAGCGCCUGAAAGGGUGGCCCUCUUGCCGAAAGGCAAGACAGCAAGACAGGUGUUGCAUGGCUGUCGUCAGCUCGUGUCGUGAGAUGUUGGGUUAAGUCCCGCAACGAGCGCAACCCCCAUCCGAUGUUGCCAGCGUAAAGACGGGAACUCUUCGGAAACUGCCCGUGUAAGCGGGAGGAAGGUGGGGAUGACGUCAAGUCAGCAUGGCCCUUACGCCUGGGGCUACACACAUGCUACAAUGGACGUGAACAAAGGGUUGCAAUACCGCGAGGUGGAGCCAAUCUCAGAAAUACGUCCUCAGUUCGGAUUGCAGUCUGCAACUCGACUGCAUGAAGUCGGAAUCGCUAGUAACCGCAGGUCAGCUAAACUGCGGUGAAUACGUUCCCGGGCCUUGUACACACCGCCCGU